rnacentral:tRNA from 1 species
ACUUUAAAGCUAUAUUCAGCAUUUCACUUACACUGAAAAGAUAGAAAUAGCUUAUUCCUAAUUUUUUUAUAAUAAAAAUACUUA